CCUACGGGAGGCAGCAGUGAGGAAUAUUGGUCAAUGGGCUUACGCCUGAACCAGCCAAGUCGCGUGAGGGAAGACUGCCCUAUGGGUUGUAAACCUCUUUUGUCAGGGAGCAACGCCGGCUACGUGUAGCCGGACUGAGAGUACCUGAAGAAAAAGCAUCGGCAAACUCCGUGCCAGCAGCGGCGGUAAUACGGAGGAUGCGAGCGUUAUCCGGAUUGAUUGGGUUUAAAGGGUGCGUAGGCGGAAUGCCAAGUCAGCGGUAAAAUCGCGGGGCUCAACCUCGCUCCGCCGUUGAAACUGGCGUUCUUGAGUGGGCGAGAAGUAUGCGGAAUGCGUGGUGUAGCGGUGAAAUGCAUAGAUAUCACGCAGAACUCCGAUUGCGAAGGCAGCAUACCGGCGCCCAACUGACGCUGAAGCACGAAAGCGUGGGUAUCGAACAGGAUUAGAUACCCUAGUAGUC
rnacentral:rRNA from 1 species